CGGAAUCCGGAGGGCGGCCCAUUCACACGGCAGCUGGGAGGAACCAAGUGGGCGCCGGGAGUGGGCGGCUCCCGCGAGUCCCGCUCCGGGCGCGGGGAGGGGACGACCAGGAGGGAGACGGGUGGGGGACGCCGCCUCGGGCCUGCUCUCCAGCUGCGGAGUGAACUGGGAAGAUUUGCAAUUAAAAAAAAAAAUUAUGUGUGAGGUUCCCGAUAUAGUAUUUCAAAGAGCACACCCGCCAAAUCCAACAUCCCCUAGGAGGCUGACUUUAAAAAAAAAAAAAAAAAAAAAAAAAAAAACCGCGCCGGGCUCCCCUCGCCCCCGCAAGCUCGGGGCGGAGGCGGGGAGGCAGGUGGUCCAGGUGCGCCCCUGCCCCGGGGGCGAGGCAUCCGGCUGGAGGGUGGCAGCGACCGCACAGAGGAAGGGGCGGCAGGUGCGCGGCGCUGGAAGAACCGGCGGCUGGGAGAGCAUCUCUGCCUCGCCCAUCAUGCCCCCUCCUCACCUCCGCCCUGGCAUUGGGACCGGAGGAGGAGGGAGGAAUAGAGCCAGGGAGUCCGAAGUACACCUUUGACAACUGUCGAGCUAGCCGGGUCAAAGGACUGCAGCCAAAGGACUCAGCAGCUGGAGUACCCCUCUGAAGCACUCCACAUGAGGGUGGAUGGAGGAUUUUGUUUGUUUCCUUGACAAAGGUGUGUGACUUGUCAGCCAAGAUGUUGGCUUUUUCAUGAAAGGAGCAAGGAAAUAGGAAGAGGGCAUGUUAAGGAAGGGAGCCCUUCUUAAAGCAAAUGGGCAAGAAUUGGAAGGAAGUGGGGAAAGAGAAUGGAGAUUACAGAAGAUGUGUCUGUACUUAUGAAAAGUGACUAAAGUAGACAUAACUAUUUUGGGAGAAGUGAAAAGCCAAAGAAAAAGUACCAAGUGCAGGGCUCCCCUGAAAAAGAAAUGGAAAGAAAAGGCAGAGGGGGCAAAGAAGAGAUCGUCCUCACAUAAACUCCUCUACACCAGCCUCUUGACGUGGGACAGAUGGGAGUGUUGGGAUGGAGUAGUUGGGACAGAUCUGCAGGGAGAAGGGACAGAGAAACAGCAGCCAGUCUUCUCUCUUCGCUUGGAUUGCAAGAGGUAAGUGUCAGGAAAAGGAAAGAAAAGGAGAAUGGGUUCAAAAACUACGCCAGCACAUCAAAUACUUUACCAUGCUGAUUCAGAUAUCAUCCUGAGUUGCCAUAUCACCCAUCUAGCUACCAAAAAAAAAAAAAAAAAAAAAUUGAAUGUGUUAAUAUUGAUGAGUUGGCGAACUGUCACAACAAAUUACUCAACACUGCCUUCUAGGAGCGGAUACUUUGAAAGGACAAUGCAUGUAUCCUACAAUGAGAGACUUUUAAACUACUGAAAUACAGAUAAAUCAAACGUUCUGUUUGCAUAUAAUUGCAAAGUUACAUCUUUACAGUUUGAAUUAUAUUGUUGUGUACCUGGACGUAUACAUCAUGACUCAGCUUACCCAGGACUGGCAAUAAUAUGUGGUAGUCAAGAACUUUAAAGUUUUCUAUCUAUUGUAUUUUUUCAUUCCUUACUAUAAUAAUUUCUCAUAGUGGCAGAGUAAGGGUUUUUUCCAACUAUAAAUUAUAUUCCUUAAAUAAACUGUUCCAAAUAAUCACAGUGUUGCAGAGGUUAGGGGCUCAUCAUUGCUGGUAAAAAAAAAUAAACAACCUUUAGAACAGCAGUUUGGCAAGUCGAACCAAGAGUUUCAACAUGUCUAUAUGAUUUCAGCCAACAAAUUCACUUCUAAGAUAUUAUGCUAAGUUUGUACACAUUUAAGUUUAUACAUUUUUAUUACAACAUUAUUUGUGAAAUGGAAAAAAUAAAAAAUAAUGUAUUGGUUAAAUAAGUUGUAUUACAUCUAUAUGAUGGAAUAUAUUCAAUUAAUAUUUAAUAAUAUUGGGAAAUGCUCAUAAUGUUAUGGGUAAAAAUAGAACAGAGCAAAACAACCUGUAAUCUCUAUACCUAAAUAAACAUGGAAGGAAAU